rnacentral:rRNA from 1 species
GAUGAACGCUGGCGGCGUGCCUAAUACAUGCAAGUCGAGCGAACGGACGAGAAGCUUGCUUCUCUGAUGUUAGCGGCGGACGGGUGAUUAACACGUGGAUAACCUACCUAUAAGACUGGGAUAACUUCGGGAAACCGGAUCUAAUACCGGAUAAUAUUUUGAACCGCAUGGUUCAAAAGUGAAAGACGGUCUUGCUGUCACUUAUAGAUGUAUCCGCGCUGCAUUAGCUAGUUGGUAAGGUAACGGCUUACCAAGGCAACGAUGCAUAGCCGACCUGAGAGGGUGAUCGGCCACACUGGAACUGAGACACGGACCAGACUCCUACGGGAGGCAGCAGUAGGGAAUCUUCCGCAAUGGGCGAAAGCCUGACGGAGCAACGCCGCGUGAGUGAUGAAGGUCUUCGGAUCGUAAAACUCUGUUAUUAGGGAAGAACAUAUGUGUAAGUAAAUGUGCACAUGUUGACGGUACCUAAUCAGAAAGCAACGGCUAACUACGUG